rnacentral:rRNA from 1 species
AUUGAACGCUUUCUUCCUUCCUUACACAUGCAAGUCGAACGGCAGCACGGGUGCUUGCACCUGGUGGCGAGUGGCGAACGGGUGAGUAAUACAUCGGAACAUGUCCUGUAGUGGGGGAUAGCCCGGCGAAAGCCGGAUUAAUACCGCAUACGAUCUACGGAUGAAAGCGGGGGACCUUCGGGCCUCGCGCGAUAGGGUUGGCCGAUGGCUGAUUAGCUAGUUGGUGGGGUAAAGGCCUACCAAGGCGACGAUCAGUAGCUGGUCUGAGAGGACGACCAGCCACACUGGGACUGAGACACGGCCCAGACUCCUACGGGAGGCAGCAGUGGGGAAUUUUGGACAAUGGGCGAAAGCCUGAUCCAGCAAUGCCGCGUGUGUGAAGAAGGCCUUCGGGUUGUAAAGCACUUUUGUCCGGAAAGAAAUCCUUGGCCCUAAUACGGUCGGGGGAUGACGGUACCGGAAGAAUAAGCACCGGCUAACUACGUG